GACGAACGCUGGCGGCGUGCCUAAUACAUGCAAGUCGAACGAAGCUGUUUUGACUGGUGCUUGCACCGACUUAAACAACUGAGUGGCGAACGGGUGAGUAACACGUGGGUAACCUGCCCCAAAGCGGGGGAUAACAUUUGGAAACAGAUGCUAAUACCGCAUAACCACAGAAACCACAUGGUUUCUUCGUCAAAGAUGGUUUCGGCUAUCACUUUGGGAUGGACCCGCGGCGUAUUAGCUAGUUGGUAAGGUAAUGGCUUACCAAGGAAAUGAUACGUAGACAAACUGAGAGGUUGAUCGGCCACAGUGGGACUGAGACACGGCCCAAACUCCUACGGGAGGCAGCAGUAGGGAAUCUUCCACAAUGGACGAAAGUCUGAUGGAGCAACGCCGCGUGAGUGAAGAAGGUUUUCGGAUCGUAAAACUCUGUUGUCAGAGAAGAACGUGUGCGAGAGUAACUGCUCGUGCAGUGACGGUAUCUGGCCAGAGAGCCACGGCUAACUACGUGCCAGCCGCCGCCGUAA
rnacentral:rRNA from 1 species